rnacentral:rRNA from 1 species
UACAGAGGUGGCAAGCGUUGUUCGGAAUUACUGGGCGUAAAGAGCGUGUAGGCGGCUAGGUAGGUCCGUUGUGAAAACUCGAGGCUCAACCUCGAGACGCCGAUGGAAACCAUCUGGCUAGAGUCCGGAAGAGGAGAGUGGAAUUCCUGGUGUAGCGGUGAAAUGCGCAGAUAUCAGGAAGAACACCCGUGGCUAAGGCGGCUCUCUAGUACGGUACUGACGCUGAGACGCGAAAGCGUGGGGAGCGAACAGG